rnacentral:misc_RNA from 1 species
GAUGAAGAACGUAGCGAAAUGCGACAAGUAAUGUGAAUUGCAGAAUUCAGUGAAUCAUCGAGUCUUUGAACGCACAUUGCGCCCCCUGGUAUUCCGGGGGGCAUGCCUGUCCGAGCGUCAUUGCUGCCCUCAAGCACGGCUUGUGUGUUGGGCCCCGCCCCCCGGCUCCCGGGGGGCGGGCCCGAAAGGCAGCGGCGGCACCGCGUCCGGUCCUCGAGCGUAUGGGGCUUCGUCACCCGCUCCGUAGGCCCGGCCGGCGCCCGCCGGCGACCCCCCUCAAUCUUUUCAGGUUGACCUCGGAUCAGGUAGGGAUACCCGCUGAACUUAAGCAUAUCAAUAAGCGGAGGA